ensembl:lncRNA novel transcript, antisense to DPP10
GGCUGGUUUUGAACUCCUGACCUCAAGUGAUCCGCCCGCCUUGGCCUCCCAAAGUGCUAGGAUUACAGGCAUGAGCCACUGUGCCUGGCCUAAACCUGGUGAUUCUUGAGGCAUCUCUUUGUUCUCUGUUGCUAAAUUUUUGUGGUAACUGGACAAGAGAAACAGGACUGAAGCUGUUACUCCCCCAACUUCUGGGAGUGUUUUUGGCUGAAAGCUCUCAGUCAGAGCCUUGCUCUGGGAAUUGUCCUCAGCCAAGGAGAGGAAGAGUCAAACUUGACUUUUAAGAAGUGUUGAAGCCCUACAUUCCUUGAAAAAUUAUGCCGAAUAUCACCUGUACCUUUCAUUUUAUGGAUUGCAAAGGAAGUAGUUUACCAUGUGAUGUAAGUUAGAGGAUUGAAGAUUGCCCUUUGACUCUUGUGAUCAAUGAGAAAGUUUGCCGAAGACUUCUCUAUCUGUUCAUCAAGCUGCAGUCACUCAUCAUGAUGUGAGGCCUUUGCGAUUUAGUACUGACCCUUCCUCUAGACACUUCUCUCUCACUUCAUCAAGCUCAUCUCAUGACUGACCUUGGGUAGUAUAGUUUCCAGAGUGCAGUGCACCAGCUGCUGCUGCUUUUCCUGUGGUCCCAUGGGCUGCUUCUCCAGCCCCAGUAUGCACCAAUUUGUCUAGCUGGCAAGUACUAGUCCCUGAAGACUCAAUCCACACAACACUCCCCUGAGAAAGUGAUGCCACCCCAAAUCCAAUAUACACUGUUCCUCUGGGCCUCCCAGAGUGUUCUGCUAACGUUCCCAUGCAUAGCAGGCAACACUGUGUCCUAGUUUGUCUGUCAUCCCCGUUAAUCUCUGAUUUUUUUAAGGAUUUUCUUUUUUUCUUUUUUUUUGUUUUUUGAGACGGAGUCU